rnacentral:rRNA from 1 species
AGCAGCCGCGGUAAUCCAGCUCCAAUAGCGUAUAUUAAAGUUGUUGCAGUUAAAAAGCUCGUAGUUGAAUUUCGGGGUUAGUAGGUUGGUCAUGCCUCUGGUAUGUACUGGUCUCACUGAUUCCUCCUUCCUGAUGAACCGUAAUGCCAUUAAUUUGGUGUUGCGGGGAAUUUGGACUGUUACUUUGAAAAAAUUAGAGUGUUUAAAGCAAGCUAACGCUUGAAUACAUUAGCAUGGAAUAAUGAAAUAGGACGUUCGAUCCUAUUUUGUUGGUUUCUAGGGUUGACGUAAUGAUUAAUAGGGAUAGUUGGGGGCAUUAGUAUUCAAUUGUCAGAGGUGAAAUUCUUGGAUUUAUUGAAGACUAACUACUGCGAAAGCAUUUGCCAAGGAUGUUUUCAUUAAUCAAGAACGAAAGUUAGGGGAUCGAAGACGAUCAGAUACCGUCGUAGUCUUAACCAUAAACUAUGCCGACUAGGGAUCGGAUGAUGUUAAUUUUUUAAUGACUCA